GAUGAACGCUGGCGGCGUGCCUAAUACAUGCAAGUCGAGCGAACAGACGAGGAGCUUGCUCCUCUGACGUUAGCGGCGGACGGGUGAGUAACACGUGGAUAACCUACCUAUAAGACUGGGAUAACUUCGGGACACCGGAGCUAAUACCGGAUAAUAUAUUGAACCGCAUGGUUCAAUAGUGAAAGACGGUUUUGCUGUCCCUUAUAGAUGGAUCCGCGCCGCAUUAGCUAGUUGGUAAGGUAACGGCUUACCAAGGCAACGAUGCGUAGCCGACCUGAGAGGGUGAUCGGCCAAACGGGAACUGAGACACGGUCAAGACUCCUACGGGAGGAAGCAGUAGGGAAUCUUCCGCAAUGGGCGAAAGCAUGACGGAGCAACGCCGCGUGAGUGAUGAAGGUCUUCGGAUCGUAAAACUCGGUUAUUAGGGAAGAAAAAAUGUGUAAGUAACUAUGCACGUAUUGACGGUACCUAAUCAGAAAGCAACGGCUAACUACGUG
rnacentral:rRNA from 1 species